CAAUUUGUGUGCUAACACUACUGAAGCGCUUGGCUCUGAACCGGGGGUCCCAGGUUCGAAUCCUGGUGACUUGG
rnacentral:tRNA from 1 species